CUAUUUAAUCCACACGACUCUCGGCAACGGAUAUCUCGGCUCUCGCAUCGAUGAAGAACGUAGCGAAAUGCGAUACCUGGUGUGAAUUGCAGAAUCCCGCGAACCAUCGAGUCUUUGAAUCGCAAGUUGCGCCCGAGGCCACUCGGCCGAGGGCACGCCUGCC
rnacentral:rRNA from 1 species